rnacentral:ncRNA from 2 species
ACUCGGCGUGGCGUCGGUCGUGGUA